rnacentral:rRNA from 1 species
UACGUAGGGAGCGAGCGUUGUCCGGAUUUACUGGGUGUAAAGGGUGCGUAGGCGGCUCUGCAAGUCAGGCGUGAAAUACAUGGGCUUAACCCAUGGACUGCGUUUGAAACUGUGGAGCUUGAGUGAAGUAGAGGUAGGCGGAAUUCCCGGUGUAGCGGUGAAAUGCGUAGAGAUCGGGAGGAACACCAGUGGCGAAGGCGGCCUACUGGGCUUUAACUGACGCUGAAGCACGAAAGCAUGGGUAGCAAACAGGAUUAGAUACCCUGGUAGUCCAUGCCGUAAACGAUGAUUACUAGGUGUGGGGGGUCUGACCCCUUCCGUGCCGGAGUUAACACAAUAAGUAAUCCACCUGGGGAGUACGGCCGCAAGGUUGAA